AACCUUAUGGACCUGCGGGCGUAUACCUGCGGAGGGAUCAUUAUAGAGUUUUCUAAACUCCCAACCCAUGUGAACUUACCUUUUGUUGCCUCGGCAGAAGUUAUAGGUCUUCUUAUAGCUGCUGCCGGUGGACCAUUAAACUCUUGUUAUUUUAUGUAAUCUGAGCGUCUUAUUUUAAUAAGUCAAAACUUUUAACAACGGAUCU
rnacentral:misc_RNA from 1 species